rnacentral:lncRNA from 1 species
GAAUCUUUCUCUUGUUCCAUCUGUUUGGAUCUACUGAAGCAUCCGGUGACUCUUUCCUGUGGACACAGCUUCUGCAUGAUCUGUAUUCAGUCCCACUGGGAUACUGAGGAUGAGAAGAAGAUCUACAGCUGUCCUCAGUGCAGACGGACCUACAUACCGAGGCCUGUCCUGAUGAAAAACACCAUGUUGGCAGGUUUAGUGGAGGAACUGAAGAAGAGCAGACUUCAAGCUUCUCCUGAUGAUCCCUCUAAUGCUGGACCUGAUGAUGUGGCCUGUGAUUCCUGCAGUGGGAGAAAACUGAAAGCUGUCAAGUCCUGUCUGCAGUGUCUGGCUUCUUACUGCCAGAUUCACCUCCAGCCUCAUUAUGAAUCACCUACAUUUAAGAAACACAAGCUGGUGGAGCCCUCUUAGAAGCUCCAGGAGAACGUCUGCUCUCGUCAUGAUGAGGUGAUGAAGAUCUUCUGUCGCACUGACCAGCAGUCUAUCUGUUCCCUCUGCUGUUGGGACCAACACAAAGGCCACAACACAGUCCCAGCUGCAGCAGAAAGGACUGAGAGGCAGAAAGAUCUGGAGGAGAGUCGAGAAAACAUCCAGCAGAGAAUCCAGAACAGAGAGAAAGAUGUGAAGCUGCUCCAACAGGAGGUGAAGGCUAUCAACGGCUCUGCUGAUAAAGCUGUGGAGCACAGCCAGGAGAUCUUCAGCCAGCUGAUCCGUCUCAUGGAGAAACGCCGCUCUGAGGUGGAGCAGCAGGUCAGAUCCCAGCAGAAACGUGAAGUGAGUCGAGUCAAGGAGCUUCAGGAGAAGAUGGAGCAGGAGAUCACUGAGCUGAAGAGGAAAGACGCUGAUCUGCUGAAGCUCUCACUAACAGAGGACCACAACCAGUUUCUGCACAGCUACCCCUCACUGUCAGGACCGGGUCAACCUGCAGACUCAUCCAGAAUCAACAUCCGUCCUCUGAGAUACUUUGAGGAGGUGACAGCAGCUGUGUCAGAGGUCAGAGAUAAACUCCAGGAUCUUCUGACAGAGACGUGGACAAAGGUCUCACAGGCAGUGACUGACAUGGGUGUUUCACUCUCAGAACCAGCAGAACCAGAACCCAAGACCAGAGCUGGUUUCUUAAGAUAUUCACAAAGAAUCACACUGGAUCCAAACACAGCAAACAGAGAGCUGUUAUUAUCUGAUAGAAACAGAAGAGCAACAGGGACAAGACUACCACAGUCUUAUCCUGAUCAUCCAGACAGAUUCACUGAUUUUCUUCAGGUUCUGAGUAGAGAGAGUCUGACUGGACGUUGUUACUGGGAAGUGAAGGGGAGAGGGGUCCUGGUUUGUGUAACAGUCGCUUACAAGACUAUCAGCAGAGCAGGGGGCUCACGUGAUUGUUUAUUUGGAAACAAUGACAAAUCUUGGAGGUUAGACUGUUAUAAAGACAGGUAUGAAUUUUUACACAACAAAGUCAUCACUCGUGUUUCAGGUCCUCGGUCCUCCAGAGUAGGAGUGUACCUGGAUCACAAGGCAGGUAUUCUGUCCUUCUACAGCGUCUCUGAAACCAUGACUCUCCUCCACAGAGUCCAGACCACAUUCACUCAGCUGCUACAUGCUGGACUGUUGUUAUGCCAUGGAGGCUCUGCUGAGUUUAUUGAACUGAAAUAAACAGAAUUUUGAGUCCAUCAGAUCAAAAACAUGUAUUGAGAUCAUUGAACUCUUGAAAUGUUUUGGUUUGUACAUUUUUGUGAAUUAGUCUCACCAAAAACUCUCGGUUUAGUUCUUCAUUUUAGCUUUUUUAUUCUUUUCUAGAGAUGCUGAUUUGGUCGCAUCUUUAAGGACAGUGAUGGUGGAUAACUUUGAUUGUUUGCAUUUCUCAUUUUGAAAAAUCUUCACUUAAGUCUGAUAGCAACAACAACAUCAAGAUGAUCAUAUGUUCAAAUCACCUUCAGUUGGUGCAGAUGUUGAAGAUCUGAGACUUUAGAAAAAGUGACGUCAAAAUAAGGAAAGAAAGAUGAAAAAGCACAACCUUAUUUCCCGUUCCAAAUCCAACUGCUUUCUCUGUUAGCUGAAUAUUUGCAUUAAUGUCAUUGAUGGAUAUUUCUGUCUGCUUCUGUUGGAUCAGUGUGUUUGUAUAGGCAUCUAAAAUAAUACUUUUGGCAGAUCAACAUGUUGUUAUGAGAUUUUCAAUCACUCUACUACUAAUAAUCACAUUCAUUUGUCUGACUGUUUUUAUGUUUCUGACUCAGCUCAGAUUGUGGUGAAGUCUCUGAUUUUUGGUGAAAACAAUUAAAAUCAUCAAACUGAGUCACUGAAAACACCUCUCCUGUUUUUCUUUAGUUUGUCUGUUUCUGCUGGAUGUCAUGUUACCGGUCCAUCUGUGUCAGGGAUUCAUGUGAUCUGCAGGAUUUUCAUGAUGUGUUCACUCAGAGGUUUUACAGGUCCCAGAUGUGAGUCCUGCAACUGGAUCAGGUUUUCUGUAAAUUAGAGGAAAAAUCAUGAGAGAGAUAUAAGGUGCAUAUAUAUUCAUAUAUAUGUGUGUUUGUGCUGAUUGACUUGUAGUUAAACUGCACUUUAAGUUGGUAUCUUCUUGAACAGAUCACAACUUGACAGCAUCUUAAAACAGACUGAACACAAACACAUAUACGCACUAACACUGUUCUCUUAAAGGAAUAGACAAGGGUAAAGUUCACAACGCCGCUCCUCUUCCUGGGUUAAACUAGAGCCGGAUUUCCCCUCCCUCGUCUCUCACACAGCACACUCCACUCUGCACACACACUUCCUUGUUCCCUCCCCUUCAGAUCUACAAAUGAGGUUGGGUGUAACCAGCAUGUGCUGAUCUAAUCCUGCUGACACACACAUGUUGUUGAGAUAAGAGCUCAGACUUGUUAACUUCUGGGAAGAAGGAAGUUCAGUCAGUCAGUCGACACUGAGUGUUGAAAUGGCGCAGACAGGAGUUCAGCUGGACCGUGAAUCUUUCUCUUGUUCCAUCUGUUUGGAUCUACUGAAGGAUCCGGUGACUCUUUCCUGUGGACACAGCUUCUGCAUGAUCUGUAUUCAGUCCCACUGGGAUACUGAGGAUGAGAAGAAGAUCUACAGCUGUCCUCAGUGCAGACGGACCUACAUACCGAGGCCUGUCCUGAUGAAAAACACCAUGUUAGCAGGUUUAGUGGAGGAACUGAAGAAGAGCAGACUUCAAGCUGCUCCUGAUGAUCCCUCUGAUGCUGGACCUGAUGAUGUGGCCUGUGAUUCCUGCAGUGGGAGAAAACUGAAAGCUGUCAAGUCCUGUCUGCAAUGUCUGGCUUCUUUCUGCCAGAUUCACCUCCAGCCUCAUUAUGAAUCACCUACAUUUAAGAAACACAAGCUGGUGGAGCCCUCCAAGAAUCUCCAGGAGAAUGUCUGCUCUCGUCAUGAUGAGGUGAUGAAGAUGUUCUGUCGCACUGAUCAGAAGUCUAUCUGUUCCCUCUGCUGUUGGGACCAACACAAAGGCCACGACACAGUCCCAGCUGCAGCAGAAAGGACUGAGAGGCAGAAAGAUCUGGAGGAGAGUCGAGAAAACAUCCAGCAGAGAAUCCAGAACAGAGAGAAAGAUGUGAAGCUGCUCCAACAGGAGGUGGAGGCUAUCAACGACUCUGCUGAUAAAGCUGUGGAGCACAGCCAGGAGAUCUUCAGCCAGCUGAUCCGUCUCAUGAGGAAACGUCACUCUGAGGUGGAGCAGCAGGUCAGAUCCCAGCAGAAACGUGAAGUGAGUCGAGUCAAAGAGCUUCAGGAGAAGCUGCAGCAGGAGAUCACUGAGCUGAAGAGGAAAGACGCUGAUCUGCUGAAGCUCUCACUCACAGAGGACCACAACCAGUUUCUGCUCAGCUACCCCUCACUGUCAGGACCGGGUCAACCUGCAGACUCAUCCAGGAUCAACAUCCGUCCUCAGAGAUACUUUGAGGAGGUGACAGCAGCUGUGUCAGAGGUCAGAGAUAAACUCCAGGAUCUUCUGACAAAGACGUGGAAAAAGGUCUCACAGGCAGUGACUCAAGUGGAUGUUUCACUGUCAGAACCACCAGAACCAGAACCCAAGACCAGAGCUGAUUUCUUAAGAUAUUCACAAAGAAUCACACUGGAUCCAAACACAGCAAACAGAGAGCUGUUAUUAUCUGAUAGAAACAGAAGAGCAACAUAUACAGAAGAACAACAGUCUUAUCCUGAUCAUCCAGACAGAUUCACUUUUUGGAUCCAGGUCCUGAGUAGAGAGAGUCUGACUGGACGUUGUUACUGGGAGGUGGAGUGGAGAGAGGAUGAGGUUGGUGUAGCAGUCUCAUACAAGACUAUCAGCAGAGCAGGGAACUCAAGGGAUUGUUUUUUUGGAGACAAUGACAAAUCUUG